GGCAGGCAGGCUGCUCUCUGACACUCCUUAAAUAUUGUGGUCUCUUGGCCACAGGGCACAGAUGUAUUCUGAGAAAGGUGGCAGAAGGCGGCCUUGCACUCACUGGAAAUCGGAUUCCUUGCUCUCACAGGAAAUUCAUCUGGCGUUAUGAAGCCUGUGACAGGGAAGACUGAUGGCCACAGAGAACAGGGUGGUUUCUGUGCUUCCUUCCAUGGGGAGGUGGAGGGUUGUUGAAGGGGUUCUGCUUCGUGUCAGUGGAAAUGCACCAGUAGAAAAGAAGACCUGAUGGUCAACAAUCCAGGACAAGGGUCAAGGGUAAGAGGGGUGAUAAAGAUGCAGAUGUGGGGCCUUUGAGAAGGUGUUCGGUCAGGAAGAUGAAGACCUUAUGAAUGAGCUGGUGCCCUUUCAAGAUGGACCCAGAGGAUUCUCUGUCAUCCUUCUGCUGUGUGGGAAUGGAAGCCAUCAGUCUACAAUCAGAAAGAGGCUCUAACCAGACCUUGGCUGCUCUGGUGCCCUGAUCCCAGACUUCAU